UCCCCGGUAGCUCAGCGGUAGAGCGGGUUCCUGUUAAGAACAAGGUCGUAGGUUCGAAUCCUACCCGGGGAG
rnacentral:tRNA from 2 species